GUGAUGCCUCAGCCACGCUGACCCUUGCGAACAGGCCCGCUGCCUUCCUCAGAGCUUACUCAGCUCCCCAUUACCGUGAGAUGAGAGUGUAGGGCUGAGGUUUCCUGUCUGAGUCUAGGUAGGGCGUUUUUUCCAGGGGCACAUCGCUGGUUAACCACCAGGUCAGGGGAUAUUUUUACCAGAUCAUCAUCUUUCAAAUCAUAAUCCCCGAAUGAGAAACCCAGUUAAGAGUGGCUGCACCAUUUGGCCUUCCCACCAGCAGUGUGUGAGAGAUCCAGUUACUCCGUGUCCUCACCAACACUUGGAGGUCUACGCAGGGCUGAAGCUGGAACUGAGAUGCCUGUGGAAUAUAGGACUGUGGCCCUGUCAGGAGUCGGUGUCGUGUGUCAGUGCAAUCCACCCUCACUGGUACCGGGUUAAUCUCCCUGAAGCCUUACUGACAGAAACUUCAGUAGUUCCCAACCGCUCACAGGAUGAAGUUUAAAGUCCUAGCAAGCC
rnacentral:lncRNA from 1 species